CUGGCCAUAAAUACUGUUACAAAGGAAAAAAUAAAAUUUCUAUUGCAAAUAACAUUUAUUACUUUUACAGUGUGUUAGUUUAAUACAUAAAUAUAAAACAAUUUAAAGUAUAAAAAGCUUAUUCGAAGUGGUCUCCAUUGGCUGCAAUACAUUCCUUUAAACGUUGAGGCCAGUUCUCAAUAGAAGCACGCACUCUUUCCAUGGGAAAAUUUUUCUCUGCCAAUCGUACCGAUUGUUUUAGGGACUCCAAAUUAUCAUGGCCUUUAGAACAAGCCGUACUCUCUAAAACUGACCAUAAAUCAUAAUCCAGCGGAUUAAGGACGGGACUAGACGACGGCCAGGCUUCAGCUCUGAUGAAGUCCGAGACGUUCGUUUCCAACCAAGACUGCGUAGACCGAGCUUUAUGACCUGGCGCCGAGUCUUGCUGGAAGGACCAUUCUUGAUUAUUGAACAUGGUGUUGUUAAGGGGCUUCACUACCUUCUCAAGAAUGGUAUUUUGAUACACUUGUGCCGAUGUGUUGAUACCUUUUUCACAAAAGUAUGGCUCAGUCACUUCUUCAUAGCUAAUACCCCACCAAACCAUCACUGAAGUCGGAUAGUGCCCACGUUGCACUCUGUCGACAAAUUGUGAAGCUUCCUUAGAGCUUUGAGCAUAAAUACGGUCAAUUUGUUUGUUAAAAUGUUGCUCAAUUGUAAAAUUUUUCUCAUCCGUACAAAAAUUUUCUAUGACCUCCCUUUGCGUACCGCUUCAGUAGUUGUUUCGAUUUUACCACCCUAUUCUCUUUUAAAUUAUCAGUUAAGAAAUGACACAGUACGUCUCUUAUAAGCUGCAAGUCCUAAGUCAUCUUUUAAAAUACGUGACAUGGUUCUAGGUGCUAUCUUCAUCUCCCGAGAUAAAAUCUUUUGCUUUCGGACAGGAUUUCUUCGAAUUCUUUCCCUUACUGCUUUGACCACCUUUUUCGUACGAACACUACGUAGACGGCCAGAACUUUUUCUGUCACAAACAGAGGAGGUCUCAUUGCACCUAUUAAUAGCCCGGUACACAAACAUUUUACUAAUACCAAGCGUAUGGAGAGUUUUAAAAAUUGCCUUUGGCUCCAUACCUACUUUGUGUAAUGCAAUCACAGCGAUUCGGUACUCUUUAUCACCCCACUCCAUUUUAAUAUCGCAAAAUAUUGUACAAUGUAUUGGCGCCAAAAUGAGAAAACUCAAUGAGCAAUCAUAUAAAAUGACAGAUUCCAAAUUCAAAUGUAAUAUUUUGUUUAUUUUUAAUUGUAACAGUAUUUAUGGCCAGAAUAAGUAUUUUAAAAUUCGUUUGUAGUGCUACUUACUCGCCGAAGUCACAUUACCAUUUACAGUUAUCUUUACAACACCAUACCCGCACAGGUCGCCCCUAUAACACGGUAGAUACGUUCCAACAAAGUCCCGUGUUGUGCGAAAUCGUGUUAUGACUAGUAGCCAGUACUAAGGGGAGAGUAAUAUUUUUUAAUGAAACAUCUCAACUAUCCCUUUCACAGUUCUUACAUCAUCAUCAUCAGCCUUUAUCUGCCCACUGCUGGACAUAGACCUUCCCCGAUGCCUUCCACAUAAUGCAGUCCUCCGCUUUCCGCAUCCAACGACUUCCCGCCGUGCGCACUAAAUCGUCAGUCCACCUGGUUGGAGGACGCCCCACGCUCCUGACUCCUCUACUCGUGGCUUUCUUCUACCAGCUCAAGCAGUCGUAGUGAAACCGAAACAGUCCCUCGAAGCUACUGGCAGACAGGUCAUCAUCAUAGCCCUCACAAAUUUCGUACACAUCAAAGAUCGUGCGUGAGAAGGUGAAACAAAAGUGGUGGUCACGACCCUCAGCAGUGAGGAAUACGACGCAAGGAGGAGACAUCACAACUUGACUAUGGCAAGUCAAGCCUCAAUUGCACCGUGGGCUCCCUUGAUCUUAAGAGGCGAGUGAAUUUAUGUAUGCUAUAACAUAUAUACAUGAGAUCGAAAUCUAGAUGGUAUUAUGUAUCAACCGACCCACUGUCAAGAAUAGGGAUGUUUGACUGCUGAGCGGUAGAAUGGUUUCAAAACUUUCAAACCUUUCUAUCGUUCAUCAGUUUCUCAAAGUUUUGCAAAAUAGUGAUGUGAUUACAUUUCAUACAUUUGGAUGAGAGGUUUUUUUUUUUUUAAGAGAUUUUAUGACCUGGUAACUAAGACCUUUAAGUCAUGUCUUAUUUUACUUUAUUUUCUUAAUUUUAUGAAAAAUGAUAAUAUGGAGUGAAAUGAAAUGAAGAUGAUUAAUUUGAGACAUUAAUCAACUGGGAUGAAAUUUAAUGAAAUGAGAUGAUAUGGGAUGAAAUAUAAUCGCAGUAAAAUGGUGGUCAUUUACUGAGAUUUUUUCAGUGGACUUUUUGGAGGAACCCGAGAAGUUACGUCCAGCAGCUUUGUUUCAUUUUCCCACAUUUGUGCACUUUCACAGAUAUUAAACAGUUAAUAAACCACCAUUAUUACACAUUUAAACCUGAAGAAACACUAAAUAGACAAAAUAAAACAAUUCACACAACUUCACUCCUCGCGUUCCCGCCAAAAAGUCUUGGAUGAGAGGUUCAGUUUAGUGUUGCAAAAGUGAGAAAUUAUUUUUAAUAAGAAAUAAAAACAAUUUAAAACAUUUUAUUAAAUUUUAUAAAAUUUUCUUAACAAUACUUUCUUAUAAUAACAUUACACAAAACUAACUAAACUAAUAUAAGCAAUAUUCUGUGAUACGUAUUAACAAGUAAGUAAACAUUUAAAUACGAUUACAUUUAAUAGAAAAAAAGGUUUUUGGUACAAAAUGUAUUUUUAUUUCACAAUUUUUUGUUUUGUUUUAAACGAGAGUCGUAAUGUUAAAUAAAAUCACAGAUUUGCAGAUAUUUUCAGACCAAUACAAGAAUUUUAACCGAAUCUCUACUUAAUAGAAAUAGGAAAAAAAAUGUGCAACCCACACCCAUAAAAACAGUUCCAAUCAACCGUAAGCAUUCGUGAACACAACAAUUACAGUUUAUUAUGUUUCACUUGGUUUGACACCUUUAUAAUAAACCAUAAAAACCUAGUAGGUACUUGUGGAGUUAUAACUGAAUAUUAGAAUCGAUUGAGAGUUAGAAUCGAAAUAGUAACGAUUAUAAUUUAGUACCUUA